rnacentral:lncRNA from 13 species
CUCUAACCGCGGAGGCAGAAAGAUCUUUCUAAAGUAAAAAUGAGAACUUCACACUAUCGCUGAAAAUCCUGCAAUGCUGCCUAUCAUCCCAAGCUUGUACAUUUUUAUGAAACAACUUGCCAUGCGGGAGAGAUCUACAUGCCAUGGAACUGAGAGUGGCUCCUGGCCAACAGCCAACAAGGAACUGAGAGCCUCAGUGAACUGGAUCCUGCCAACCAUCAUGUAAGUGAGUGUGGAAGCAGAUCCUUCCCCAGUAGAACCUUCAGAUGAAAUCCCAGUCCUGACUGACAUCUCCAUUACAGCCUGUGAGAGACCAUGGAGCAGAGGACCCAGCUAAGCUGUGCCCAGAGUCCUGACCCAUGGAAACUGACAUAAUAUAUGUGUGUUGUUUUAAGCCACUAAGUUUUGGAAUAAGUUGUUGUGUAGCAAUAGAUAGCUAAUAUAGAUUUCUCCCUUAAAAUUAAAAAGCAGACAAAAGACCUAUUUUUCUUCUGAGGGAUGAUGGGUAGAUUGUCACUUAUUUGGGUUUAUCUCAGUCAUUCUUUAUCUAACAUGACAUGAUAUUAAGAACAGCACACUGCUGAUAAUAUUGAUAGAUUCAUUUGUGUAAGUCACACCUCUGAUAUCGCCCUUCCCCUAUUUAAAAAGCUUCAUUGGUUCCCACUGACUGAAUGAAAGAAGUUCAACUUUUUUAUUUGGCAUUCAAGGCUCACUUUGAUAUUUGUCCUCUAUAAGCUGUUAAAAUGAUCAUCCUAAAACAUCAAUUAUCACGUUACUCCUGUGCUUAUAAAAGUCUCUGUUCAAGUCUGGCUUCCAACUAGAGUAAACCUGUGUUCCACAGCAACAAGUCUUACCAUGAUCUGGCCCCUCCUACCUUUCUGAAGUUUAGCUCUUGUUACCCAGGCUGGAGUGCAAUGGCACGAUCUUGGCUCACUACAACCUCCACCUCCUGGGUUCAGGCAAUUCUCCUGCCUCUGCCUUCUGAGUAGCUGGGAUUACAGGCAUGCGCCACCAUACUCAGCUAAUUUUUUUUUGUAUUUUUACUAGAGACAGGAUUUCACCAUGUUGACCAGGAUGGUCUCGAUCUCUUGACCUCGUGACCCACCCACCUUGGCCUCCCAAAGUGCUGGGAUUACAGGCGUGAGCCACCGCACCUGGCCCUGACUUACACUUUUCUUUUGAGACAAGUUCUUGCUCUGUUGCUCAGGCUAGAGUGAAGUGGCAUG